GGGGAUGAAGUGUUGCAUGGUCGUACACGCGUGGUUGUCACCCACGAAUAUCGGGUUCGAAUCCCGGCAUCUCCA
rnacentral:tRNA from 1 species